GUUGAAACACCGGUUCCCGUACGAUUGCCGUAGUUAAGCAAUAUCGAGCCCGGUCAGUAUCUAGAUGGGUGACUGUUUGAGAAUGUCAGGUGCUGUAA